rnacentral:rRNA from 1 species
ACUCAAUAGAUACCCCGGUAGUCCACGCCGUAAACGAUGGGUGCUAGGUGUCGCGGGCUUUGACCCCUGCGGUGCCGUAAGCUAAACGCAUUAAGCACCCCGCCUGGGGAGUACGGCCGCAAGGCUAAAACUCAAAGGAAUUGACGGGGGCCCGGCACAAGCGGUGGAGCAUGUGGUUCAAAUUCGACGCAACGCGCAGAACCUUACCUGGGCUAGAAAAAUGCAGGAACCUGGUUGAAAAAACUCGGGGUGCUCUUCGGAGAACCUGUAGUUAGGUGCUGCAUGGCUGUCGUCAGCUCGUGUCGUGAGAUGUUGGGUUAAGUCCCGCAACGAGCGCAACCCUAUCGUUAGUUGCCAUCGGGUUAAGCCGGGCACUCUAGCGAGACUGCCGAUAUUCAAAUCGGAGGAAGGUGGGGAUGACGUCAAGUCCUCAUGGCCCUUAUGUCCAGGGCUACACACGUGCUACAAUGGUCGGUACAAACGGUCGCCAGCCCGCGAGGGGUAGCCAAUCCGAAAAAA